rnacentral:rRNA from 1 species
GCAGCCGCCGCGGUAAUACGUAGGGGGCGAGCGUUGUCCGAAGUUACUGGGCGUAAAGCGCGCGUAGGCGGGCUGUUAAGUCGGAAGUGAAAGGCUGGGGCUCAACCUCACUGCAGUGCUUCCGAUACUGGCAGUCUUGAGGGCGGUAGGGAGAGGUGGAAUGGCUGGUGUAGCGGUGAAAUGCGUAGAUAUCAGUCGGAACACCGGUGGCGAAGGCGGCCUCUUGGGCCGUUCCUGACGCUGAGGCGCGAAAGCCAGGGGAGCGAACGGGAUUAGAUACCCCGGUAGUCCUGGCCGUAAACGAUGGAUACUAGGUGUUGGGGGUAUCGACCCCCCCAGUGCCGCAGCUAACGCACUAAGUAUCCCGCCUGGGGAGUACGGCCGCAAGGUUGAAACUUAAAGGAAUUGGCGGGGGA